CUAAGAAUAUUCCGCAAUGGACGGAAGUCCGACGGAGCGACGCCGCGUGGAUGACGAAGGCCGAAAGGUUGUAAAGUUCUUUUGCUGGGGAAGAAUAACCGCAGGAGGGAAUGCCUGUGGGAUGACAAGAACCGGCGAAUAAGCCCCGGCCAACUACGUGCCAGCAGCCGCGGUAACACGUAGGGGGGCGAGCGUUGUUCGGAAUUACUGGGGCGUAAAGGGCAUGUAGGCGGCUUGGAAAGCCUGGCGUGAAAGUCUGCAGCUUAACUGCAGGGGUGCGCUGGGAACUGCUGAGCUUGAGUGACGGGAGAGGGAGCUGGGAAUUCCUGGGUGUAGGGGGUGAAAUCUGUAGAUAUCAGGAAGAACACCGAUGGCGAAGGCAAGCUCCUGGCCGAUGACUGACGCUGAGGU
rnacentral:rRNA from 1 species